CCCAGUACCUGUCCGUCUGUCUGCAAACACCCCCUGCCCCCUCGGUACCUGUCCGUCCGUCCGUCCGCCUGCCUGCAACCCCUCCCCCUGGUACCUGUCUGUCCGUCUGCACCCCUCCCCCCCGUACCUGUCCGUCUGUCUGUCUGUCCGCCCGCAACCCCUCCCCCCAGUACCUGUCCGUCUGUCUGUCUGCAAACACCCCCUGCUCCCUCGGUACCUGUCCGUCCGUCCGCCUGCACCCCUCCCCCUGGUACCUGUCUGUCCGUCCGUCGGUCUGCCUGCCUGCAAACCCCCCCGCCCAACGGCUGUCCGUCUGUCCGCCCGCCCGCCGCUGCCCUGCCGGCCUCACCCCGCGCGAGCUCUGCGGGCCCCGGAAGGCGGGACUCGGGAGGAAACCGGCCCGAAGCCCAACCGGCUCGGCCGGCGGGGGGAGCGGGGACCGGAACGCGAACCCGGCCGAGCGGCGCCCGAACCUUCCCGAGCGGGGCCGAAUGGCGGGGCCCGAACCUCUCCGAGCGGAGCCGAAGAUUCCCGAACCUCUCCGAGCGGACCCGACAAUUCCCGAACGGAGCCGAGCGGAGCCCGAACCUCUCCGAGCGGACCCGACGAUUCCCGAACGGAGCCGAGCGGAGCCCGAACCUCUCCGAGCGGAGCCGACGAUUCCCGAACGGAGCCGAGCGGAGCCCGAACCUCUCCGAGCGGAGCCGACGAUUCCCGAGCGGGCCGGGGUCGCUGUCUGCGCUGCCGAGGGUCCCUGUGUCCCGCCGGUGCAGGCGGCGUGGCCGGAGCCAUGAUCGAGGUUCUGGCCCAGCUGAGCCGCGGGCCCGUGUUCCUGGCCGGGGAGAUGCUGGAGUGUGCGAUCGUCUUCACCAACCCGCUCUCGGCCACCUCCACCUCCGCCAGCAGUGAGAUGCUGGCGUGGGCCAGCGCCCAGAUUCACUGCCAGUUUCAUGCCAGCGAGAACCGGGUGGCGCUGCCUCCCUCGGAUGACAGCAAGCACGAUGUGCAGGCUGAGAACGAGACAGUGUUUGUCCCCAACAGAGGAGAGCGGGGUCAGUGCAUCCUGUCCACACCCCCAAAGAUUCUCUUUUGUGACUUGCGCCUGGAUCCCGGAGAGUCGAAAUCCUACUCGUACUGCGAGACGCUGCCUGUGGACGGGCCGCCCUCCUUCCGGGGGCAGUCAGUGAAGUAUGUGUACAAGCUGACCGUCGGCUGCCAGCGGGUGAGCUCUCCCAUCAAGCUGCUGCGGGUGCCCUUCCGGGUGCUGGUGCUGCACGGGCUCAAAGAGUAUCAGUUGCCCCAGGACGAAGUGGUCGCCCCCUCAAACCCCUUCCUGGAGGAGGAGGAGAGGGUGAAGAAAGACUCCCGGCUGGCGGACCUGGCCACGGAGCUGCUGAUGGCAGCCACCUCCCGGCGCAGCCUGCACGUGUAUAACAUCAGCAACACCCGGGGGAAGGUGGGCAAGUUCGGGAUCUUUAAGACUGUCUAUAAGAUUGGAGAAGACAUCCUCGGGACGUUUAACUUCUCGGAAGGGGACAUCCCCUGUCUGCAGUACUCGGUGAGCCUGCAGACAGAGGAGAGUAUCCAGGAGGAGUUCCAACGGCGGCGUGGGCAGCCCGUCUCCUACAGCACACACGCCCGCCACCAGGAAUCCUGUCUGCACACAGCCAGGAGCAGCUUCAGCCUUCCCGUCCCGCUGAGCUCCACGCCCGGCUUCACCACCAAUAUCGUGUCUCUGAAGUGGAGGCUGCACUUUGAGUUCGUGACCUCCCGGGACUCAGGGGAGGCCCACACGGUCCCUGAGAACCCAUCGGAAACCAUCACCUGGACUGGGGUGGAGCAAAUCGAAGUGGAUACCUUCAGCUGGGACCUGCCCAUCAAAGUCCUGCCGACCAAUCCCGUCCUGGCCUCCUAUGUGUCCCAGUUCUCCAGCACAAACUCCAUCACUAUCUGAGCUGGGGCAGGACCUAGGUGGGAGCCUGGGGCGCCAUUCACGUCACCUGCUAGGGAUGCUGGGCGGCCCUGCCUGUUUGAGAGACAACACUCUGUGCCCAGCACUAGCUGGCCUCUCCUUCCUGAGCUGCGUCUCUGGGUCGGGAGCCAGGCUCCUGGUCCCCUGGGCGUGCACAGGAACCCCAGUGCUCUCUGUAAGGGGGCUGAUUAGCAGUGCGCGGCCUGGCUGCUUUCUCCCCAGUGCGGGGCCUUGUGCCCAGCCCAGGGUCGCCCUUCCAAUGACUACCCGCGCCAGUCUCCUAGGAAGCCCACGUCCAUUCCCGCUGGGAUCUCCCCCCCGCCUCGCCACGGGAAGGACCCCAUUUCCAGCUGACACAUGUCCAGUGCCCUUGCUGGGAGCGACAGCCCUCCAGCCUGUGACUGCCCUGGGGCGUGUCCAUCCCACAUGUGAACUGCAGCCCCCUCUGGUAGAGUCAGCCCCCGGCCUGGGGCAACCCCAGCAGAGGGGAGGCAGGUGCCCUGCACGCCCAAGCUGAGCUCCUGGAUGCGGCUGGCUUCCCCAGGGAGAGGCCAGGGUCCCAUGGGGGCAGGGGCAGGCGCUGCUGCUCCAGGGCCUUAGACCAAGGGGCAGGCAGGCUGCCAUCCCCACCUGAGCUGGGAGCAAGGAGAUCCUGGCCCGGAGGCUGGGUUCUUGGCCCUGCUCUCCCUAGGGCGGAUGAGUGGUGCCUCUUCUCUCCCUGCUUCUGGGCUGGGCCAGGCAACAAAGUCAAUGUAACUCCAUCGCUCGGGGAGUGAAAUCCCCCCUGCCCGCCGAGCGACGCGUCACACCCCCCUGCCCCCGGGUGCGGGCAGCACUGGGUCCCAUCGACCGGCACCCGGGGAGAGCCCCGCCCAUCAGGGCAGGCAGCAGCUUCGCUGAAGCCCUGAGGCACCCAGCGCUGUGUCCAAGUGCUGGGAUUGACCGGGGCCAGGCAGCAGAGGGGCCAGGCCCGACCCCUCCAGGCUCCUGAGUUCUCUCCCCGCUGUCUGCUCUGUGUGUGCAAAUGAAUAAACACCUGAGUGCCCA